AGAGUUUGAUCAUGGCUCAGGAUGAACGCUAGCUACAGGCUUAACACAUGCAAGUCGAGGGGAAACGAUAUUGGAAGCUUGCUUCCGAUAGGCGUCGACCGGCGCACGGGUGAGUAACGCGUAUCCAACCUGCCCACCACUUGGGGAUAACCUUGCGAAAGUAAGACUAAUACCCAAUGACGUCUCUAGAAGACAUCUGAAGGAGAUUAAAGAUUUAUCGGUGAUGGAUGGGGAUGCGUCUGAUUAGCUUGUUGGCGGGGUAACGGCCCACCAAGGCAACGAUCAGUAGGGGUUCUGAGAGGAAGGUCCCCCACAUUGGAACUGAGACACGGUCCAAACUCCUACGGGAGGCAGCAGUGAGGAAUAUUGGUCAAUGGGCGAGAGCCUGAACCAGCCAAGUAGCGUGCAGGAAGACGGCCCUAUGGGUUGUAAACUGCUUUUAUAAGGUAAUAAAGUUAGUCUCGUGAGACUUUUUGCAUGUACCUUAUGAAUAAGGACCGGCUAAUUCCGCGCCAGCAGCCGCGGUAAUACGGGGGAUGCGAGCGUUAUCCGGAUUCAUUGGGUUUAAAGGGUGCGUAGGCUGUGCGUCAAGUCGGGGGUGAAAUUCCGGUGCUCAACACCGGGGCUGCCCUUGAUACUGUCGCGCUGGAGUGCGGAUGCCGCCGGAGGAAUGAGUGGUGUAGCGGUGAAAUGCUUAGAUAUCACUCAGAACACCGAUUGCGAAGGCAUCUGGCGAAUCCGUAACUGACGCUGAGGCACGAAAGCGUGGGGAUAGAACAGGAUUAGAUACCCUGGUAUUCCACGCCGUAAACGAUGAUGGCUAACCGCCGGCGACACACUGUCGGUGGCCAAGCGAAAGCGAUAGCCAUCCACCUGGGGAGUACGUCGGCAACGAUGAAACUCAAAGGAAUUGACGGGGGCCCGCACAAGCGGAGGAACAUGUGGUUUAAUUCGAUGAUACGCGAGGAACCUUACCCGGGCUCGAACGGCACCUGGAUCACCCAGAGAUGGGCGAGUCUUCGGACAGGUGUCGAGGUGCUGCAUGGUUGUCGUCAGCUCGUGCCGUGAGGUGUCGGCUCAAGUGCCAUAACGAGCGCAACCCUUGCCGCCAGUUGCCAUCAGGUGAUGCUGGGCACUCUGGCGGGACUGCCACCGCAAGGUGUGAGGAGGGGGGGGAUGACGUCAAAUCAGCACGGCCCUUACGUCCGGGGCGACACACGUGUUACAAUGGCGGCCACAGAGGGAAGCUACCCCGCGAGGGGAUGCGGAUCUCGAAAAGCCGUCCCAGUUCGGACUGGAGUCUGCAACCCGACUCCACGAAGUUGGAUUCGCUAGUAAUCGCGCAUCAGCCAUGGCGCGGUGAAUACGUUCCCGGGCCUUGUACACACCGCCCGUCAAGCCAUGGAAGCCGCGGGCGCCUGAAGUCCGUGACCGGAAGGAGCGGCCUAGGGCGAAAGUGGUAACUGGGGCUAAGUCGUAACAAGGUA
rnacentral:rRNA from 1 species